UCGAGAGGCUUCGGCAAUGGGGGAAACCCUGACCGAGCGACGCCGCGUGAGGGAUGAAGGCCCUUGGGUUGUAAACCUCUUUUGUUCGGGAAGAAGUGCGAUCAGGUGAACAAUCUGGUCGUUUGACGGUACCGGACGAAUAAGCUCCGGCUAACUCCGUGCCAGCAGCCGCGGUAACACGGGGGGAGCAAGCGUUGUUCGGAAUCACUGGGCGUAAAGGGCGUGUAGGCGGUCAGGUAAGUGGGAUGUGAAAUGCCCCGGCUCACCCGGGGACCGGCAUCCCAAACUGCCUGGCUUGAGUAUGGGAGAGGAUGAGGGAAUUCCUGGUGUAGCGGUGAAAUGCGUAGAUAUCAGGAGGAACACCGGUGGCGAAGGCGCUCAUCUGGCCCAAUACUGACGCUGAGGCGCGAAAGCUAGGGGAGCAAACGGG
rnacentral:rRNA from 1 species